UGGGGAAUAUUGGACAAUGGGCGCAAGCCUGAUCCAGCCAUGCCGCGUGAGUGAUGAAGGCCCUAGGGUUGUAAAGCUCUUUCACCGGUGAAGAUAAUGACGGUAACCGGAGAAGAAGCCCCGGCUAACUUCGUGCCAGCAGCCGCGGUAAUACGAAGGGGGCUAGCGUUGUUCGGAAUUACUGGGCGUAAAGCGCACGUAGGCGGAUCGAUCAGUUAGGGGUGAAAUCCCGGGGCUCAACCCCGGAACUGCCUCUAAUACUGUCGAUCUGGAGUUCGAGAGAGGUGAGUGGAAUUCCGAGUGUAGAGGUGAAAUUCGUAGAUAUGCGGAGGAACACCAGUGGCGAAGGCGGCUCACUGGCUCGAUACUGACGCUGAGGUGCGUAAGCGUGGGGAGCAAACA
rnacentral:rRNA from 1 species